GCGCGGGCCCGGGACCCCCGGCCGCGGGGCGGGAGGGGAGACCCCCGGCGGCGCCCCGGCGCCCCUCGGACCCCCGCGCCGGGAGAGGAGGUUUCGGCCCGAGGUUUCCGGGGAGUCUCCGAGUUGGGAAAACCUGGGCCCGACGCCCCACGCUGCCUUCCCUCCGGCCCCGGGGUCGCGAGAGGCGCCCCUCCGCAGGGAGGCAGCCUGGGGGGGGCGGGGUGCGGACAGGCUCUCCCCGCCCCCCUUCCCUGUCCCCGUGGGGCCGGAGCCCCCGCAGCGGGAAGUGCGGGUUUCACAAGGGCCGGCAAGCCCCGAGCCACCGCCCAGGGGCCGCGCUUUGGGGGCGGGCGGUGGGGUCCCCAAGCUGCGCUGCGCCUUCGGGCCUAAGAGCCGAGGUGAGGGCGCAGGGGUUUCCCCUGCACUGUGUGCGGGAGCCGCAGCCCCUGGGGAGGAGGGUCGGGGGACCCGGGCGUGCAGAGCGGGGGCCGGCGGGGUCUGAGGCAAGAGGAAGCUGCGGGGGCCCCCAGUCCUUGCCUUCCGGGCGCGGCCGGCGCUCUCCGGGGGAGCGGGAAGCAGCACCCUAGCCCCUUGGGACGGGGGGCAGGCGUGGGUGACCCCGGCAGAGAAGCUCCGUGGGCGGGAGGGGGUCAGCCCGUUCUGGGCGGCAGGGCACCGCCCUUUUGGGGUCUGUUGGUUCUCCCUCCCGUCUCCCGUCUCCCCGUGCCCGGCGUCCCACAGCACUGUCCCCUGCCGCCGAGGGCUGGACCCACUCAGGCUCCCCAGGCCUCCCCGCCCUCCCCUGGCCGCCCCCACCCAGGAGCCGAGAGACCUGGUGGAUGGCGGCCUUCACGGCAGCUCCGCGUCCAGGGCGCCGGGGACCAGCGCCCACCUCCCGUCCGAUGUCACCCUAUCUGGACAGUCGGACCGAGGGGAGGUAAAAGAAGCGUCUCGGUUUCUCAACAGUAGACGAGGCUGGGGUUGGAGGGUCCCCUGGACCCCCGUGGCGGGGUCUUCCUGACCGGGGCUGCUCAGCCCUCCCUGCAACCUCAGCCAACCGGCUUCUUCGUGUCCUAGAACACCCUCUCAGUCGUUCCCUGUCUCCUCCCUGCUCGGCACCCUCAGGGGGCUUCCCGUUGCACAGGACAAAACCAGGCUGGGCGCCCUAGCCCCCGCGCCUCACUGCAGCCACGCAGGACCCCCAGCCCCAGGCCACCUGCUCGAGUUCCUGUGGCGUUAGGCCCUGCAAGCGCAGCACCCGGGUGGGCUUGUUCACCGCUGCGUCCCUGCACCUGCGCGCAGUAGGUGCUCCAGGGGUGUUUGCUGGGUGACGGAAUGAGUCUUCCUGCCUGGGGAAGCCAGUCGUGUUACUCAUUUAUUUUUAAAAUUUGUGUGGUAGUAACGUAUCCAACAUAACACUGGCCAUUUUAACUGCUUACCAGCAUACAACUUGGUGCUGGUUAUUACAUCCACAGUGUUGUACCACCACCAGCCAUUACCAAAAUUCACCAUCACCCCAGACAUUAAGCAGUAACCCCCUAACCCCAGCCCCUGGUACCCUGUAACCUUCUGUCUCUGAAUUUGCAUAUUCUAGUUACUUCACAUCGGUGAGCGCACUCACUGUCCUUCCGUGUCCAGCUUACUUCACUCCCCGUGAUCUCACCAAGACACAGGCUUCCACCUUUUGACGAUUGUGAAUAAUGUCACUGUGGACUCUGGGGCACAGAUACCUGCACGUGUGCCAGUCGUGCCCCCUCUGGCUGAUGGCAGGUAGUAAAGGGGAGGCUCAGUUUGGCAAUAUUACACCCUUGAAGAUGACAGUCAGUGCCACCCAGACUGAGCUCACUGAGAAAUCUCCCUCUUCUCAGAAACGCUGAUGAGCAAACCAAAAGUUAAUAUAUAGCUGAGCUCAAAACCAAAAAUGGGAAUUCUACAGGGAACAAACACAGCAAAGUUUCAAGGUGGUGAGCAGGGUCUGAGGUCAGGCUGGGUCAGGACCAGGGCCUGGAGGGCUUUCAGAAACAGCUGAAACCAGGCUACAUGCAUGAAGCCAGAGCAGGCAGUGCUGUGCGGACAAGGAACAGACUGGAAAAGCUACUGUCUCUGCCUGCGGGGAGCAGGGAGGACGCUGCUAUCUGUUCUCAGGCUCUGGGUGGAAAAAAAGUCACAAAACAAAGACCCUGGAAACUCAGGCGUCUGCGUCCAUGGGUGGGAGGGUGGAGUUUUUCUACCCCUGUACAAGGACCCCAGGCCACCACAACUGGGACCACAGCAGAGGCAACUGCAGCCCGAAGCGGGGCAGCCGAGGCCUGCUGGGCGCGAGCUCACAGACGAGUGCUGCUGAGGAGGCGGUGAGGGGUGGCCGUGCGUCCUUAGCACCAAAUGCCAGUGCCGUUCAGAGACCUGAGAAUACAGAAAGUUACGUAGCAAAAACGGGACAGUGCAAAAAGUGGACUAAUAGAGAAUAUCUAGGAAUUUAAAAAUAUAGUCCCUGGAAAUAUAGUUAAUGGGUGAAUUGAACAUUAUAUAGAGGUGAAGAGAGUAUUAAUGAAACGGAAGGUAGGUCUGAGGGAACGUCACAGAAGGCAGUCCGAAGAGUUAAAGAGGCGGAUGUUACCGAGCAGGAGCUGAGUCGUGUAUGGAAGUACAAGCCCCAGCGGAUGUGUAAUGAGAGUCCCGGGGAGAGAAUCAGGAGAGUGAGAGGAGACAGUAUGUAUGCAAAGAGAAUCUUCCAGAACUGAAAAAACCCCAGAUUCAAGAAACACAGCUCCUGAGUGAAAAAAAAAAAAAAUUACUACCAGAAAGACUUUUCGUCUUUGAUAAGACAUGCCAGAAA